GUUGAUCGGGAGUGUGUCGCCAUGUGUGCUGUGCUGUGCUCCACAGUGGAAAGCAGCGAGCUCCUGCUGCGGUGGCGGCUGGAUCAACUGUGAGCUGCCCGCCGGCGCUCUCCUGCUGCGUCAAGGUGCAGGUGAUAUGGUCCGGUUAGACUCUGGUGAGCCGGCGGGGCAGAUCUGGUGCAGACAGCUGCCGAUGUAGGCGAUCACCUCGUCCACUUCCUCCACUGAGCCCAGCAGGAGGCUCCAUGGACCGCGCUCGAACUCCAACACCAACUGCAGGGGGCGACAUAUGCAAAGGAACAUGAAAUGAACAACUAGGAGUGCCGUUAAGGUGAAGAAAUGCAUCCAUGCAGUCAUUAUAAUUUCGUUUCCAUUAAAUAGACUGAGCAGGCUACCUGAGUGGGCUUGUUGCUGCUGAUUCCCUGGAUAUCCAGGUAGCUGAAGGAGUUUUCAACCUGAAGCAAGCCAGACAAGACAUAUUAUGAAAUUCAACAAUAAACAUUUCAAGUUAAUCUUG